UACGGAGGAUGCGAGCGUUAUCCGGAUUUAUUGGGUUUAAAGGGUGCGUAGGCGGGAUAAUAAGUCAGCGGUGAAAGUUUUCGGCUCAACCGGAAAAUUGCCGUUGAAACUGUUGUUCUUGAGUGCAGAAGAGGUAGGCGGAAUUCGUUAUGUAGCGGUGAAAUGCGUAGAUAUAACGAAGAACACCAAUUGCGUAGGCAGCUUACCAUACUGCAACUGACGCUGAGGCACGAAAGUGUGGGUAUCAAACAGGAUUAGAUACCCUGGUAGUCCACACAGUAAACGAUGAAUACUAGCUGUUUGCGAUAUACAGCAAGCGGCCGAGCGAAAGCAUUAAGUAUUCCACCUGGGGAGUACGCCGGCAACGGUGAA
rnacentral:rRNA from 1 species